AUUAUUUUGUAUGUCAUAAGCAUGAUAAUUGAGGUUUCAAGCUCAUGUGUGAGGUAUGCCUCCCUCAAACCUUGUUAUGGAUGCCUGUCUGACG
ensembl:snoRNA